GUCGGAUUAUGGCUCAGAUUGAACGCUGGCGGGAUGCUUUGAGACAUGCAAGUCGAACGGCAGCACGGACUUCAGUCUGGUGGCGAGUGGCGAACGGGUGCAAUGUAUCGGAACGUGCCUAGUAGCGGGGGAUAACUACGCGAAAGCGUAGCUAAUACCGCAUACGACCUUCGGGGGAAAGUGGGGCCUUUCGGGCCUGCACUAUUAGAGCGGCCGAUAUCGGAUUAGCUAGUUGGUGGGGUAACGGUCACCAAGGCGACGAUCCGUAGCUGGUUUGAGAGACGACCAGCCACAUGACUGAGGCACGGGCCCAGACUCCUACGGGAGGCAGCAGUGGGGAAUUUCGGACAAUGGGGAAACCCUGGAUCCAGCCAUCCCGCGCAAUGCGAUGAAGGCCUUCGGUUGUAAAGCACUUUGGCAGGAAGAAACGGCACGGAUAAUACCCUCGUGCAACUGACGGUACCUGCAGAAUAAGCACUGCCAACUACGCGCCAGCAGCCGCGGUAAUGUAGGCAAGCGUUAAUCGGAAUUACUGGGCGGCAGUGGCAGGCGGUUCGGAAAGAAAGAUGUGAACCAGAGCUUAACUUUUGGAACUGCAUUUUUAACUACCGAGCUAGAUGUGUCGAGGGAGGAAAUUCCGCGUGUAGCAGUGAAAUGCGUAGAUAUGCGGAGGAACACCGAUGGCGAAGGUAGCCUCCUGGGAUAACACUGACGCUCAUGCACGAAAGCGUGGGGAGCAAACAGGAUUAGAUACUCCCGGUAGUCCAGACGCCCUAAACGUGAUGUCAACGAGCCACAGCCUUCGCCUCAGCAGCGCAGCUAACGCGUGAAGUUGACCGCCUGGGGAGAGCAAGGUCGCAAGAUUUAAAACCUCCAAAGGAAUGGAUUGGGACCCGCAAUAAGGUGAUGACAGUAGACGACUGAUGCAACGCGAAAACCUUACCUACCCUUGACAUGUCUGGAAUCCCGAAGAGGAUUUGGGGAGUGCUUUCGCAAGGGAACCGGAACACAGGUGCUGGCCGUCGCCAGUCGUGUCGUGGAUGUUGCUUAAGUCCGCAACGAGCGCAACCUUGUCAUUAGUUGCUACGAAAGGGCACUCUGGAUGAGACUGCCGGUGACAAACCGGAGGAAGGUGGAUGACGCCAAGUCCAUGCGGCCCUUAUGGGUAGUGGGCUUCACACGCUCAUGGCUGGUCGGACAGAGGGUCGCCAACCCGCGAGGGGGAGCUAAUCCCAGAAACCCGAUUCAGUCCGGAUCACGGCAACUCGACUGCGUGAAGUCGGAACGCCAGUAAUCGCGGAUCAGCAUGUCGCGGUGAACACGCCCUGGCCCUGUACAUACCGCCCGUCACGGCUAUGGGAGUGGGUUUUACCAGAAGUAGUUAGCCUAACCGUAAGGAGGGCGAUUACCACGGUAGAUUCAUGACUGGGGUGAAGUCGUAACAAGGUAA
rnacentral:rRNA from 1 species